UUUUUUUCUUUUUUUUUUUUUUUUUUUUUGGUGUGGGGGAAUUGAAUCAGAACCAUGGAGGAUGAACCACCCAAUUUCUCUGAUUGGUUGGAAGGACAAA
rnacentral:ribozyme from 1 species